ACCGCGGUAGCCCAGUUGGUAGUGGCGUCGGCAGUAGGUACAGAUGCUGAAGGUCGCAGGUUCUAAUCCUGCCUGCGGUG